rnacentral:rRNA from 1 species
UACGGAGGGUGCAAGCGUUGCUCGGAAUACUGGGCGUAAAGCGGACGCAGGCGGAUCAGCAAGUUGGGCGUGAAAGCCCGGGGCUCAACCCCGGAACUGCGUUCAAAACUGCUGGCCUGGAAUACGGGAGAGGGAAGCGGAAUUCCUGGUGUAGAGGUGAAAUUCGUAGAUAUCAGGAGGAACACCGGUGGCGAAAGCGGCUUCCUGGCCCGAUAUUGACGCUCAUGUCCGAAAGCGUGGGUAGCAAACA